rnacentral:rRNA from 1 species
CCUACGGGCGGCUGCAGUGGGGAAUAUUGCACAAUGGGCGCAAGCCUGAUGCAGCCAUGCCGCGUGUGUGAAGAAGGCCUUCGGGUUGUAAAGCACUUUCAGCGGGGAGGAAGGCGGUGAGGUUAAUAACCUCAUCGAUUGACGUUACCCGCAGAAGAAGCACCGGCUAACUCCGUGCCAGCAGCCGCGGUAAUACGGAGGGUGCAGGCGUUAAUCGGAAUUACUGGGCGUAAAGCGCACGCAGGCGGUCUGUCAAGUCGGAUGUGAAAUCCCCGGGCUCAACCUGGGAACUGCAUUCGAAACUGGCAGGCUAGAGUCUUGUAGAGGGGGGUAGAAUGCCAGGUGUAGUGGUGAAAUGCGUAGAGAUCUGGAGGAAUACCGGUGGCGAAGGCGGCCCCCUGGACAAAGACUGACGCUCAGGUGCGAAAGCGUGGGGAGCAAACAGGAUUAGAUACCCGAGUAGUC